GACGAACGCUGGCGGCGUGCUUAACACAUGCAAGUCGAACGGAAAGGCCCUGCUUUUGUGGGGUGCUCGAGUGGCGAACGGGUGAGUAAAACGUGAGUAACAUGCCCUCGAAUUUGGGAUAACUUCAGGAAACUGGGGCUAAUACCGGAUAGGAGCUCCUGAUGCAUGGGGGGGGUAGGAAAGUUUCGGCGGUGUGGGAUGGUCUCGCGGCUUAUCAGCUGCUUGGUGGGGUAGUGGCUUACCAGGCCUAUGACGGGUAGCCGGCCUUGGAGGGUGACCGGCCACAUGGGUCCUGCGGUACGGCCCAGUCUCCUACGUGACGCAGCAGUGGGGAAUAUUGCGCAAUGGGCGGACGCCUGAUGCAGCAAUGCCGCGUGCGGGAUGCCGUCUUUCGGGUUGUAAACCUCUUUCGCCUGUGACGAAGCGUGAGUGACGGUAACUGGUAAAGAAGCACCGGCUAACUACGUG
rnacentral:rRNA from 1 species